rnacentral:snRNA from 1 species
GUGCUUGCUUUGGCAGCACAUAUGCUAAAAUUGGAAUGAUACAAAGAAGAUUAUCAUGGCCUCUGUGCAAGGAUGACAUGUAAAUUCACGAAGCAUCCUGUAUUUUU